rnacentral:rRNA from 1 species
AGAGUUUGAUCAUGGCUCAGAUUGAACGCUGGCGGCAGGCUUAACACAUGCAAGUCGAACGGUAACAGAAAGUAGCUUGCUACUUUGCUGACGAGUGGCGGACGGGUGAGUAAUGCUUGGGAAUAUGCCUUAUGGUGGGGGACAACAGUUGGAAACGACUGCUAAUACCGCAUAACAUCUCCGGAUCAAAGUGGGGGACCUUCGGGCCUCACGCCAUAAGAGUAGCCCAAGUGGGAUUAGCUAGUUGGUAAGGUAAUGGCUUACCAAGGCGACGAUCCCUAGUUGGUCUUAGAGGAUGACCAGCCACACUGGAACUGAGACACGGUCCAGACUCCUACGGGAGGCAGCAGUGGGGAAUAUUGCACAAUGGGCGCAAGCCUGAUGCAGCCAUGCCGCGUGUGUGAAGAAGGCUUUCGGGUUGUAAAGCACUUUCAGCGAGGAGGAAAGGGUAUUGCUUAAUAGGUAAUAUCUGUGACGUUACUCGCAGAAGAAGCACCGGCUAACUCCGUGCCAGCAGCCGCGGUAAUACGGAGGGUGCGAGCGUUAAUCGGAAUUACUGGGCGUAAAGCGCGCGUAGGUGGUUAAUUAAGUCAGAUGUGAAAUCCCAGGGCUCAACCUUGGAACUGCAUUUGAAACUGGUUAACUAGAGUUUUGUAGAGGGUGGUAGAAUUUCAGGUGUAGCGGUGAAAUGCGUAGAGAUCUGAAGGAAUACCAGUGGCGAAGGCGGCCACCUGGACAAAGACUGACACUGAGGCGCGAAGGCGUGGGGAGCAAACGGGAUUAGAUACCCCGGUAGUCCAA